AAAUUGAAGAGUUUGAUCAUGGCUCAGAUUGAACGCUGGCGGCAGGCCUAACACAUGCAAGUCGAACGGUAACAGGAAGCAGCUUGCUGCUUUGCUGACGAGUGGCGGACGGGUGAGUAAUGUCUGGGAAACUGCCUGAUGGAGGGGGAUAACUACUGGAAACGGUGGCUAAUACCGCAUAAUGUCGCAAGACCAAAGAGGGGGACCUUCGGGCCUCUUGCCAUCAGAUGUGCCCAGAUGGGAUUAGCUUGUUGG
rnacentral:rRNA from 1 species